ACCUACACGGCAGCCAUUAUCAAAGACGUAUUACAGUUACUGGUAAUGUUAAUGGUAACUGUAAUACGUCUUUGAUAAUGGCUGCCGUGUAGGU